AUGCCAUCCAAGGGCCAGCUGCAGUCCGUGCAAUCCACUGCAAACAUGGCAGUGGCCUCAUCAAGGUGAAUGGAUGGCCCCUGGAGAUGAUGGAGCCGAGCGCUGCAAUUCAAGCUGCUGGAACUAGUUCCUAGUUCUGCCUCUGGGCAAGGAGCAAUUUGCUGACAUGCACACGCAUGUUUGUGUGAAGGGUGGUGGUCAUGUGACCCAGAUUUAUGCUAUCAACAUCAGUCCAUCUCCAAAGCCUUAGUGGCCUAUUACCGGAAAUAAAUGGAUGAGGCUUCCAAAAGGACCAGAGGCAUCCUCAUCCAGCAUGACUGGACCCUGUCAGUAGCUGACCCCCGUUGCUGCAAAUCCAAAAACGUUGGAGGCCCUGGUACCUAUGCUUGCUACCAGAAAUCGUACCAAUAA
rnacentral:lncRNA from 1 species